AGGAUUUGAAAUCUUUUUACAAUGACUUGAUUUUAUUUCCUUCUCUGAUUUCACUUAGCAUUAAGUUGAGAAAUAUAUGCAAGAGCAAAUUCAAGACAGCUGCCUCUUGAAAAGAAAUCAAAGCAUGGAGAUGCAGAGACACUAACAUAAAAAUAUGCUUUUUUGAUCUAAGAUCACUGCUAUACAGGACUCUCGGGCUUUUGGAUAAAAAGUUAAUGACAUCGAAGCAGGGAAACCUUAGCUGUUGCUGCUGUGGGAUCAUGAUUAUCCAAGCCCAACGGAUCCAGACACCUUGGAAAAAAGCACUGACUAGAUCACUAAGUGAUAAGAGGCCACACAGAGAGACUGUGGGGGAAGAGAGAGGACCCAGUAGGACUUGCUAGCUCCAGGAGCGCUGACGGAUGAGAGCAGUUGCAUGAAGGUUUUCAGCCAAAUACCACCUGCAACCAUGAUGAGACUUUCCCAUUGAGGUCUGCCCAGAUUGAAGAACGAU